UCCUUAAUUGCUCGUUCCAUUAUUCGCGGUGCCAUUUUCUCCUCCGUCUUUCCAAACUGCAGUUUCUCAAUCCAAUCACCGCACGCGUGCACCGCCGUGCUCACCUGAAACUGCCUGUCACGCCGGCGCCCCCAACAACCCCGGCACCCGCGCUAGGGGUAGCCUUCGGCUACCCUGCCUCCUCGUUCGGCCCCGACGCUAGCCCCAGCAUCUCCUCCCGUGACGCCUCCCUCGAUCUCCUGUCCCGUUCCCCAGCCAUCUCCAAUCAUGGAUCCUGCGAUGGAGAUCCCCAUGUCACCGCCAACGCCGAGAUCCAUCGGCCAGACGCAGACCGUAGCCCCGACCUCCCUCCAUCGCCAAGCGUUGCGUUCAGCGUCGCCCCAUCUGUCCUCGCCCAUGGCUGGCAUGGGGGUUUGAUUCCCAGCGUACGACUCCAGCCCGACGUGGUACCUCGACCCUGCCUGAGAUGUGGUGAAGGAUCCAUUCACCUGUUUGUUUUAUUUUGACUGAGGUAUUGCCAGGAUGGAUUCAACGGGGUAGUUCUGAAUUCGUUUGAUCUCAAGCUAUUUCGUUCGCCUGUUUGUUUUAUUUCGUUCGAUCUCAAGCUAUUCGGACGGUGCUCGAUCUGAAUUCCCAAGUACAGGAGCGUCAAACGAUUCACUCCCACCGAAUUUGUUUUGUGUCCUCGUAGACCUGUGCAUAAAUUGUAGUACCCCAUUUCGACGGCAGUCACCAUUCUCCACACCUUGUCGUCUGCAUAAGCCGGACGAUUGUUGGGUGGUGGGAAUGGAACCGCGAGAAGCAUAGAAGACAUUUGAUCGUCGGCGCGUCUAUGCGAUAGUCCUGCCAUUGCAAACAUACUACAGAUGAUUAACUGACAAGGUGAUGAUGAACGAGCAGCGGCCAUGGAGGCAACAUAGGACAGGGCUCGGCGACAGCGACUUUCUCUUCUGGCAUGGUUCCGCUGAGAUGAAGUGGUUCAAUGGCUUGGUGUUCAUCUACAUUUAUUAUACCAUUUUUUGCAAGCUAUGUGGAGAGCCAAAUUGUACAGCAAAUGUGAAGAAAUAUAUGAUCGGUCCUUCAAAACCUAUGAGUAUUACAAUGAAGAGAAUUUGUGACUGCGAACAUAUCUUUUUAUGCUCUGUCAACGAAAGGAGUUUGCCUCUAGCUAGUGCUUUCCAACGGUGUAAAACCAUUGUAGGAUGAGUAUAAAUAUUUCCAGUUUUAAGUG